UACGUAGGGGGCAAGCGUUGUCCGGAAUUACUGGGCGUAAAGAGCUUGUAGGUGGUUUGUCGCGUUGUUCGUGAAAUCUCACGGCUUAACUGUGAGCGUGCGGGCGAUACGGGCAGACUAGAGUACUGCAGGGGAGACUGGAAUUCCUGGUGUAGCGGUGGAAUGCGCAGAUAUCAGGAGGAACACCGGUGGCGAAGGCGGGUCUCUGGGCAGUAACUGACGCUGAGACGCGAAAGCGUGGGGAGCAAACAGG
rnacentral:rRNA from 1 species